rnacentral:rRNA from 1 species
GAUGAACGCUGACAGAAUGCUUAACACAUGCAAGUCUUUGGCGAAGCUGUGCUUGCACAGCCUAGCCAAGGCGGACGGGUGAGUAACGCGUAAGGAACUUGCCCUGCAGUCAGGGAUAACAGACGGAAACGACUGAUAAGACCUGGUAAAGUCAGGCGGACUCAUGUCCAGCCUGAUGAAAGGAGAUGCUGCAGGAGAGCCUUGCGUCCUAUUAGCUUGUUGGUGGGGUAACGGCCCACCAAGGCGAUGAUAGGUAGCCGGCCUGAGAGGGUGGACGGCCACAAGGGGACUGAGAUACGGCCCUUACUCCUACGGGAGGCAGCAGUGGGGAAUAUUGGACAAUGGGGGCAACCCUGAUCCAGCAAUUCUGUGUGCACGAUGAAGGUUUUCGGAGUGUAAAGUGCUUUCAGCAGGGAAGAAAAAAAUGACGGUACCUGCAGAAGAAGCGACGGCUAAAUACGUG